GACGAACGCUGGCGGCGUGCCUAAUACAUGCAAGUCGAGCGGACCGGAUUGGGGCUUGCCUUGAUUCGGUCAGCGGCGGACGGGUGAGUAACACGUGGGCAACCUGCCCGCAAGACCGGGAUAACUCCGGGAAACCGGAGCUAAUACCGGAUAACACCGAAGACCGCAUGGUCUUCGGUUGAAAGGCGGCCUUUGGGCUGUCACUUGCGGAUGGGCCCGCGGCGCAUUAGCUAGUUGGUGAGGUAACGGCUCACCAAGGCGACGAUGCGUAGCCGGCCUGGGAGGGUGACCGGCCACGCUGGGACUGAGACACGGCCCAGACUCCUACGGGAGGCAGCAGUAGGGAAUCUUCCGCAAUGGGCGAAAGCCUGACGGAGCGACGCCGCGUGAGCGAAGAAGGCCUUCGGGUCGUAAAGCUCUGUUGUGAGGGACGAAGGAGCGUCGUUCGAAGAGGGCGGCGCGGUGACGGUACCUCACGAGAAAGCCCCGGCUAACUACGUG
rnacentral:rRNA from 1 species